rnacentral:rRNA from 1 species
UACGGAGGGUGCAAGCGUUAAUCGGAAUUACUGGGCGUAAAGGGUGCGUAGGCGGUUUGUUAAGUCUGUUGUGAAAUCCCCGGGCUCAACCUGGGAAUGGCAAUGGAUACUGGCAAGCUAGAGUGUGUCAGAGGAUGGUGGAAUUCCCGGUGUAGCGGUGAAAUGCGUAGAGAUCGGGAGGAACAUCAGUGGCGAAGGCGGCCCCCUGGACUAGGACUGACGCUGAGGUGCGAAAGCGUGGGGAGCAAACAGG